UGGGGAAUCUUGCGCAAUGGGCGAAAGCCUGACGCAGCGACGCCGCGUGGGUGAUGAAGGCCCUCGGGUUGUAAAGCCCUGUGGGGAGGAACGAACUGUUCGGGGGUGAAUAUCCUCCGGGCUUGACGGUACCUCCUUAGCAAGCAUCGGCUAACUCUGUGCCAGCAGCCGCGGUAAGACAGAGGAUGCGAACGUUGCUCGGAAUUACUGGGCGUAAAGCGCGCGCAGGUUGCCUUGUAAGUCGUGUGUGAAAUCCCUCUGCUCAACGGAGGAAGUGCACGGGAUACUGCAAGGCUGGAGUACAGAAGAGGACAGCGGAAUUCCCGGUGUAGAGGUGAAAUUCGUAGAUAUCGGGAGGAACACCAGUGGCGAAGGCGGCUGUCUGGGCUGAUACUGACACUGAGGCGCGAAAGCGUGGGAAGCAAACA
rnacentral:rRNA from 1 species